UACGUAGGGUCCGAGCGUUGUCCGGAAUUACUGGGCGUAAAGCGCGUGUAGGCGGCCCUGCAAGUCGGAUGUGAAAUCCCACGGCUCAACCGUGGAAGUGCAUUCGAAACUGCAGGGCUAGAGUCCUGGAGAGGAAGGUGGAAUGCUUGGUGUAGAGGUGAAAUUCGUAGAUAUCAAGCGGAACACCGGUGGCGAAGGCGGCCUUCUGGACAGUGACUGACGCUGAGACGCGAAAGCGUGGGGAGCAAACAGG
rnacentral:rRNA from 1 species